rfam:Danio rerio chromosome 4, GRCz11 reference primary assembly.
GGCUCUGUGGCGCAAUGGAUAGCGCAUUGGACUUCUAGGCUGUGAGCUGAGCCAUUCAGAGGUUGUGGGUUCGAGUCCCACCAGAAUCG